rnacentral:rRNA from 1 species
GAAGGUCAGGCUGAAGACCUUACCCGAUUAGCUGAGAGGUGGUGCAUGGCCGUCGUCAGUUCGUACUGUGAAGCAUCCUGUUAAGUCAGGCAACGAGCGAGACCCACGUCCACAGUUGCCAGCAUACCCGUCCGGGGUGAUGGGUACACUGUGGAGACCGCCGCUGCUAAAGCGGAGGAAGGAGUGGGCAACGGUAGGUCAGUAUGCCCCGAAUCUCCCGGGCUACACGCGGGCUACAAUGGUUGGUACAAUGGGCAUCUACCCCGAAAGGGGAAGGAAAUCUCUUAAAGCCAAUCGUAGUUCGGAUUGAGGGCUGCAACUCGCCCUCAUGAAGCUGGAAUCCGUAGUAAUCGCGUUUCAACAGAACGCGGUGAAUACGUCCCUGCUCCUU